rnacentral:lncRNA from 1 species
AAGAAAGGCCAAAGAAGGGAGUCUUUGUGCCCAGGUUCAUUCUUAAAGCAUAGUGCUUAUUCGCAAGCUUUCUGGGCCCAGGGGCACCCACAGACAAGAGCUGGGGCUCACAGGUUUUUUCACUGCUGUUAUUUGACUAUGGUUCUGCUUAAAGUAGAAAGGUAGCCUCUGAGCAUUGCUCAACUCUGUACCCAUACAGUAUUUUGCAAUUCUUAAAUAGAAGUCCCCGGGGUCAGUGGCAGCCACUUGAAGCCAGACUGGCUAUGUACCUAAGUACCAGUUCUCUGUUGCCCAGGGGCACUCCCCCCCCACCUCUCUUUAUCGCCCUGUUACCCUCCCCCAUCUCCAGCCCCCUCCUCCAGGCAAAAUCUCUUUGAGGCCUAGAGAUGGAAAACUCUGCUGCCCAGGGAUGUUGGGAGUGGAAUUCAGAGCCCAGGAAGGUCAUCAUGAUCUAGCAUAACUUCACUUCAAGCAGGGAAGUUGAAAGAGAGAGGUGGUUUCAAGAUUUAGGAAAGAGGAAGAGUUGAUUAACAUAGCACCAGCACCCUUCUCUCUCUCUCUCUCUCUCUCUCUCUCUCUCUCACACACACACACACACACACACACACACACACACACACACACACACACACACACACACACAUCCUCUCUCUCUCUCACACAGGCUUUUGGACCGUCCACCUCCUCCUGAAGCAAAUGCCUGAGAUCCAAUGGAAGUUGAGGAAACUGAGGGCAAGCCAUUCUUACUUCCCAAGUGUCCCCAGCCCCUUGGGCAGGCAGAAUCCAGAACACUAAAGAGUUCCACUUCGAUGCGGGAGGCUCAUUGUGUAGGGCAGCAGCCCCUUCCUGCCCAAGUGCUUCUGUUCCAUCCUUCCUUCGUGUGUGCUGCCCCUCAGCGCUCUCUCGGGAGCAAUGUCUCUGCGAGGCAUGCUUCAUGCUACUUAUGUCUAUCACAACCUUGCCAUCCCUCACUGUCCUCACUCCACUUCGUUUCUUCCUCAGCCUUAAGUACUGAAUAAAAAGAGUGGGUUUUGCUUCAUUGGGUUUGUCAGAGAAUGUAAACUGAUGAAGACUUUGAGCUCCUUGACUGAAGGGCCUCUAGCCUUUCUUUGAAUUCCCAGCACUUAGAACACAGUGCCUGGCACAUAGUAGAUGCUUAAUAAAUGCUUGUUGACUGAAGAGCA